GCAAGCUAACGCCAGCUGUUAUAAAAGACUCUUGCUUCACUGUUACUUUAUCCUCAGGAUUUUGGCCGCUUGCACUUCAUGUUGUAUCUGCUUCUUCUAUGCUUUUUUUAAUAUGUUUACUGAAACAAUGUUCUCUACUUAAUCAUCUGUGUGGCAGGCAUCACCACAGCUCAUGCACCAAGCAAAUUCCACCAUUACAGACUUGCAUCCCCCUGGUCUCAUCGCUACAGUCCAGGAGCAAUACUCACCUACUUGAUUCUGGCAUGGGUGGGGCUGAGCAAACCAAGCUACGGAUCUUGUGUCUUCAUGGAUACAGGCAAACUGGCACCACCUUCAGGGAAAAGACAGGAGCUUUCAGGAAGCUGCUGAAGAAGCAUGCAGAGUUUGUGUUUGUGACAUCGCCAGUGAGAGUGCCACCACUGACACCAGGCAGUGAUGGGGGUGAUAAGGACGACGGUGGAUGUGGGUGGUGGUUCAGUCAGCCCAAUGAUUACUUCAAGGCCCAGGAUGAGUCCGAGUGUGUGAAAGGAUACAAUGAUUCUCUGAAGGCUGUAGUAGACUUUGUGAAUGAAAAUGGGCCCUUUGAUGGCCUCCUGGGCUUCAGCCAAGGAGGAGCCAUGCUAGGCCUCCUCUGUGGUCUCCAGCAACAGGGAAACCUACCCUUCUCUUUCAAGUUUGCCAUCUUUGCCUCAGCCUUUAAGUCACGUUCCUCACCACACCAAGCACUCUACUCAGAGAAGAUAACUCUGCCCACCCUACAUGUGUUUGGUGAAGAAGACCAGGUGAUACAGAAACACAUGAGUGACGAGUUCCUGCAGUACUUCCAUGAGCCUCAGACACUGGUGCAUCCUGGAGGUCACUUCAUCCCUGCCACAGGGGCACAAAAGGCCACCUAUGUCACCUUCCUGGAGAAAAUGGCACAGCUGACAUAACUUAAGUGAAUUUUGAAGCAAUCUUUAAGACUGGAUGCACUGAAAUGACUGGUCAGAGAGAGAGAGAGAGAGAGAGAGAGAGAGAGAGAGAGAGAGAGAGAGAGAGAGAGAGAGAGAGAGAGAGAGAGAGAGAGAGAGAGAGAGAGAGAGAGAGAGAGAGAGAG
rnacentral:misc_RNA from 1 species